CGAUGUGGCGAGCAUAACCCGUGUGGGGUAUGCGUAGCGAAGGCGAGUCUUAAAAGGCGUUUGAGUCGCGUGUCCUGGACCCGAAGCGGGAUGAUCUAGCCCUGAGCAGGUGAAGCGCGGGUAAGACCGCGUGGAGGACCGAACCCACCUGGGGUUGAAAACCGGGGGGGAUGACUUGGGGGCUAGGGGGUGAAAAGGCCAAUCAAAUUCCGUGAUAGCUGGUUCUCUCCGAAAUGCAUUUGGGUGCAGCGUCGGGUCAUUACGUCCCGGGGGUAGAGCUACUGGAUGCUUGCGGGCCCGUAUCGGGUACCAACAGCAACCAAAACUCCGAAUACCGGUGACGCGUAUCCCGGCAGUGAGUCGGCGGGGGAUAAGCUUCGUCGUCGAAAGGGAAACAGCCCAGACCGUCGUCUAAGGUCCCGAAGCGUGUGCUAAAGUGGGAAAGGAUGUGGAGUCGCAUAGACAGCCAGGAGGUUGGCUCAGAAGCAGCCACCCUUGAAAGAGUGCGUAACAGCUCACUGGUCUAGUGGUUCCGCGCCGAACAAUGUAGCGGGC
rnacentral:rRNA from 1 species